UAUACAAAUCUUUCCACAUAUGACUGCCUAAUGUUAUCAUGUGAAGUCAUAUUUGUUUGUCAUUAGGGCUGCAGCUUGGGUUGGGCCAGUCCUAGUUUUUCCUGGCCUGGGAUUUUCAGCCCAAGGGCCAUGCUAUGAUUGGGAAAUCCCAACAUAACGUUUGGCUAGGUUAGGGUUGAGGCAUUGGGUUCAGCGCCAUGCCUUGUUUCAACAUUCAUCUGUGUGUGGUUUAUACGUUAUAUGUUUUGUACUUUUAUCAAUGGUCAUGAAGAUGUAUAUGGAUUUCUGACCUAAUUAAAUUGAUAUUGGUACACAUUAUCAUUCUCUCUUAACAUAAUCUCUCUUUGUGUGUGUGUGUGUCUGUGUUUCAGAUUUUGACCUUAUUUAGUCAAAUUGGACCAAGGGCAAUCUGUGGUGUUUAUCUAUUGGUGAUUCAUGUUAAAAAUUCAUGCUCAGCCUAGCCUGAAGUCAUUUUUCAUGCUGGGCAGUGUGAUUUCACAGCCCUAUCUCAGGCUAGGGUUGGGGAUCUGUGAGCUCAGGCUGGGUUUUGGUCUUCAAAAAACUGAGCCCAGCUGGAUCAGAUUGUUCCUUUACCAGUAGAUGAAUAGCACUAUGGGUAUAAUUUAUUUAAAUAAUAAUGUGAAUAAAGAUUCUUAGCUUAAAAAAUAGUACAACUGAUCAGAGAACUUUUCUGCCAUCUCCCUUGAUUUGAGAAAAGGAGAACAGUUAAAAGCAUGAUUUGGUUCUACAGGCUUUAUUCCGAGAACCUCUAAUGUUUGUGAGUAAUUGAUUUUGGAGUUCAUAUAUCAGGAGUUGAUACUUUUCAUUACUUUGCUGUCAUUAUUGGGAUGGUAUUUUCAUUAUGCAUGCUUAUAUAGCAUUCUCGUAGUAUUUGAUGCAAUAACCAGGAAAGGCAAAACAAGAAUUUUGUACCGAACUGCAUUUAGUAGUAAGACAGUUGAAUUGGGGUGAGUUUAUGAGAUAAAGGUGAAUGAAAAUAAUGCUGAGUUAGAAGUUGUAGAAAAUAAUGACGAGAUAGAAGUUAUAAAAAAUAAUGCUGAGUUUAUAGUUGUCAAGGCGUUGCCAAUGCGUCCAAGUGCCUUGAUGGCUUGAUCACCUUGCGUCCAGGUCCCCUCCAACACCUUGGUCGCCUAAACGCUGUGACAACUAUGCGUUAGACAGAACUAAUGCACACAGUCAUUUAAAUCUUGUCAAGUUCAGUAAGGCUGGGUACAAUGGAGAGAAUGUUGCUAUUAUGUGUUCUUAAUACAGAGGUGUUUUCAGAAAGAAUGAAACAAUAAAGAAUUAAGUAAAACAGCAUUGAAUUUGCAUGCAGUGGACUUUGAAUUUGCAUGUAGUGGGAAGUACCAUAUUAGUGGAUUUUAUUACCAAUGUCAUCAGGCAGAAGUGCAGGCUGUUUUGUAAGAGUAUUUCUGAAGUGGUAUGCUGUGUCCUCACUUUUAGAUUUGAGCCGGAGGAGUAAAGUUAUAAAGGAUGGGAUUAGGAAGUCGAUGGAAAA